rnacentral:rRNA from 1 species
GAUGAACGCUGGCGGCGUGCUUAACACAUGCAAGUCGAACGGAAAGGCUCCUGCUUGCAGGGGUACUCGAGUGGCGAACGGGUGAGUAACACGUGGGUGAUCUGCCCUGCACUUCGGGAUAAGCCUGGGAAACUGGGUCUAAUACCGGAUAGGACCACAUUUUGGAUGGUGUGGUGGAAAGUUUUUCGGUGUGGGAUGAGCUCGCGGCCUAUCAGCUUGUUGGUGGGGUAAUGGCCUACCAAGGCGUCGACGGGAAGCCGGCCUGAGAGGGUGUACGGCCACAUUGGGACUGAGAUACGGCCCAGACUCCUACGGGAGGCAGCAGUGGGGAAUAUUGCACAAUGGGCGCAAGCCUGAUGCAGCGACGCCGCGUGGGGGAUGACGGCCUUCGGGUUGUAAACUCCUUUCGCUAGGGACGAAGCGCAAGUGACGGUACCUGGAGAAGAAGCACCGGCUAACUACGUG